GAUGCUGUUAACGCAUCAUUAAGCUUUACGGUUGUUUACUAUAGUUAUCCAGUGAUCUGGAUUCUUACCGAGUGGUUGGAGCCACUUUGUUUGACGCCUCCCUGUUAAACUCCUGAGAGCCGCCUUAUCCGCGGCUCUUUUUUU
rnacentral:sRNA from 1 species